GAUGAACGCUGGCGGUAUGCUUAACACAUGCAAGUCGAACGGACUCUUCGGAGUUAGUGGCGGACGGGUGAGUAACGCGUGAGAAUCUGGCUUUGGGUUCGAGACAACCACUGGAAACGGUGGCUAAUACCGGAUGUGCCGAGAGGUAAAAGAGAAAUUGCCUGAAGAUGAGCUCGCGUCUGAUUAGCUAGCUGGUGAGGUAAAGGCUCACCAAGGCAGCGAUCAGUAGCUGGUCUGAGAGGAUGACCAGCCACACUGGGACUGAGACACGGCCCAGACUCCUACGGGAGGCAGCAGUGGGGAAUUUUCCGCAAUGGGCGAAAGCCUGACGGAGCAAUACCGCGUGAGGGAAGAAGGCUCUUGGGUUGUAAACCUCUUUUCUUAGGGAAGAACAAAAUGACGGUACCUAAGGAAUCAGCAUCGGCUAACUCCGUG
rnacentral:rRNA from 1 species